GACGAACCGUGCGAACGUUAUUCGGAAUCACUGGGCUUAAAGCGUGCGUAGGCGGCUCAGAAAGUUGGGUGUGAAAUACCUCGGCUCAACCGAGGAAUUGCGCUCAAAACUACUGGGCUUGAGGGAGUUAGAGGUGAGCGGAACUAAUGGUGGAGCGGUGAAAUGCGUUGAUAUCAUUAGGAACACCGGUGGCGAAAGCGGCUCACUGGGGCUCUUCUGACGCUGAGGCACGAAAGCUAGGGGAGCGAACGGGAUUAGAAACCCCCGUAGUCC
rnacentral:rRNA from 1 species